UAUGGCGACCGGCGCACGGGUGAGUAACACGUAUCCAACCUGCCGAUGACUCGGGGAUAGCCUUUCGAAAGAAAGAUUAAUAUCCGAUGGCAUAGUUCUUCCGCAUGGUAGAACUAUUAAAGAAUUUCGGUCAUCGAUGGGGAUGCGUUCCAUUAGGUUGUUGGCGGGGUAACGGCCCACCAAGCCUUCGAUGGAUAGGGGUUCUGAGAGGAAGGUCCCCCACAUUGGAACUGAGACACGGUCCAAACUCCUACGGGAGGCAGCAUG
rnacentral:rRNA from 1 species